rnacentral:tRNA from 1 species
GGGGCCAUGGUGUAGGUUGGUCCAGCAUCCGGGCUUAGGAAGCCCGAGACCCGAGUUCAAAUCUCGGUGGCCCCA